GCAUAUCAAUAAGCGGAGGAAAAGAAACCAACAGGGAUUGCCCCAGUAACGGCGAGUGAAGCGGCAACAGCUCAAAUUUGAAAUCUGGCCCUCGGGUCCGAGUUGUAAUUUGCAGAGGAUGCUUUUGGUGAGGUGCCUUCCGAGUUCCCUGGAACGGGACGCCAUAGAGGGUGAGAGCCCCGUCUGGUCGGACACCAAACCUGUGUAAAGCUCCUUCGACGAGUCGAGUAGUUUGGGAAUGCUGCUCUAAAUGGGAGGUAUAUGUCUUCUAAAGCUAAAUACCGGCCAGAGACCGAUAGCGCACAAGUAGAGUGAUCGAAAGAUGAAAAGCACUUUGAAAAGAGAGUUAAACAGUACGUGAAAUUGUUGAAAGGGAAGCGCUCAUGACCAGACUUGGGCUUGGCUGAUCAACUUGGGUUCUCCCGGGUGCACUCUUCCUCGUCCAGGCCAGCAUCAGUUCGCUGCGGGGGAUAAAGGUUUCGGGAACGUGGCUCCCUCGGGAGUGUUAUAGCCCGUUGCGUAAUACCCUGCGGUGGACUGAGGUCCGCGCAUCUGCAAGGAUGCUGGCGUAAUGGUCAUCAGCGACCCGUCUUGAAACACGGACCAAGGAGUCGUCUUCGUAUGCGAGUGUUCGGGUGUUAAACCCCUACGCGGAAUGAAAGUGAACGCAGGUGAGAGCUUCGGCGCAUCAUCGACCGAUCCUGAUGUUCUCGGAUGGAUUUGAGUAAGAGCAUACGGGGCCGGACCCGAAAGAAGGUGAACUAUGCCUGUAUAGGGUGAAGCCAGAGGAAACUCUGGUGGAGGCUCGCAGCGGUUCUGACGUGCAAAUCGAUCGUCAAAUAUGGGCAUGGGGGCGAAAGACUAAUCGAACCUUCUAGUAGCUGGUUUCCGCCGAG
rnacentral:rRNA from 1 species